rnacentral:rRNA from 1 species
AUGACGUCAAGUCCUCAUGGCCUUUAUGCCCAGGGCUACACACGUGCUACAAUGGGUGGUACAAAGAGAUGCAAUCUCGCAAGAGCAAGCAAACCUCAAAAAGCCAUCCUCAGUUCGGAUUGGAGUCUGCAACGCGACUCCAUGAAGUCGGAAUCGCUAGUAAUCGCGGAUCAGCACGCCGCGGUGAAUACGUUCCCGGGCCUU